rnacentral:rRNA from 1 species
UUGGAGGGCAAGUCUGGUGCCAGCAGCCGCGGUAAUUCCAGCUCCAAUAGCGUAUAUUAGAGUUGUUGCAGUUAAAAAGCUCGUAGUUGAAUUUCGAGAUCAAUUUGUUGGUCGUGCCUCGGUACGUACUGGCAAUUUUGAUUUCUCCCUUCUGAAGAACCAUGAUGUCAUUAAUUUGGUGUCAUGGGGAAUCAGGACCGUUACUUUGAAAAAAUUAGAGUGUUUAAAGCAGGC